rnacentral:lncRNA from 1 species
AAGAUGUGAAGUGGAAACUGCACGAUCGGGCGCCGCAGGAGCUUCGAUCGGACCAGCAUCCACUUUUUCUUCCGGUGCCUUAUUCCUGCUCUAAUAUGUUGUCUACAAGAAGACUAGCCGGGGGGAUUGACAGAGGGAUGGCUGUUGGGAGGUCCCCCACACUCUUUAGCGCCGUGCGGAGCGGGGGGGAGCCGGGGGACGGGCUGGAGCGGGCAGGCAUCUGCACUGUGCCUGUCACUGACCAUCGCAGUGGCCAGUCGGCAUCCUGCAUGGGGGUCGCAGCAGGGACGCUUGGGCGGUGCUUGGAGGAGCACAGGGGGGACAUGGCGAGGGCUAGAAUGACAACUGCCUGUCCAUUGGGGCUUGCGGGGGUGGUGUGGAGAUGCACUGUC